rnacentral:rRNA from 1 species
AUGAACAAGAUCAUGAAGGUCAUCCAUAGAAGUGUAUGGGCGGGACAAAAGUGUCUAGGGCAGCUGGCCAAGUGGAAAACAGCCGAGGAGGUUGCUGCACUAGUUCGAUCGCUUCCCGUUGAAGAGCAGCCAAAGCAAAUUAUUUUGACAAGGAAGUGUGUGUUGGAAGUCCAUCUGCCAUUCCAAGCUUGCUUGAAGAUUGACAAGUUUGGUCUCAAGGCUACAGAACCGCAGAUGGUUCUUUAUAACAUAUACGAUGACUGGUUGAAAAGUAUCUCGUCCUACACUGCAUUCUCUCGUCUUGUGCUUAUACUACGAGCAUUACAUGUCAAUAAUGAGAAGGCCAAGAUGUUGCUGAAGCCCGACAAGACAAUGGUUACGGAACUGCUUCAUAUCUGGCCAUCAAUCUUUGACUGA